CCUACGGGGGGCAGCAGUGGGGAAUAUUGGGCAAUGGGCGCAAGCCUGACCCAGCAACGCCGCGUGAAGGAAGAAGGCUUUCGGGUUGUAAACUUCUUUUGUCAGGGAAGAGUAGAAGACGGUACCUGGCGAAUAAGCCAAGGGUAACUACGUGCCAGCAGCCGCGGGAAUACGUAGGGUGCAAGCGUUGUCCGGAUGUACUGGGUGUAAAGGGCGUGUAGCCGGGUUGACAAGUCAGAUGUGAAAUCCUGCGGCUUAACCGCAGAACUGCAUUUGAAACUGUGGAUCUUGAGUACUGGAGAGGCAGACGGAAUUCCUAGUGUAGCGGUGAAAUGCGUAGAUAGUAGGAGGAACACCAGUGGCGAAGGCGGUCUGCUGGACAGCAACUGACGGUGAGGCGCGAAAGCGUGGGGAGCAAACAGGAUUAGAUACCCCAGUAGUC
rnacentral:rRNA from 1 species